rnacentral:rRNA from 1 species
AGCGAACGCUGGCGGCAGGCUUAACACAUGCAAGUCGAGCGGGCGUAGCAAUACGUCAGCGGCAGACGGGUGAGUAACGCGUGGGAACGUACCUUUUGGUUCGGAACAACACAGGGAAACUUGUGCUAAUACCGGAUAAGCCCUUACGGGGAAAGAUUUAUCGCCGAAAGAUCGGCCCGCGUCUGAUUAGCUAGUUGGUGUGGUAACGGCGCACCAAGGCGACGAUCAGUAGCUGGCUGAGAGGAUGAUCAGCCACAUUGGGACUGAGACACGGCCCAAACUCCUACGGGAGGCAGCAGUGGGGAAUAUUGGACAAUGGGCGCAAGCCUGAUCCAGCCAUGCCGCGUGAGUGAUGAAGGCCCUAGGGUUGUAAACUGCUUUUAUAUGGGAAGAUUAUGACGGUACCAUAUGAAUAAGGACCGGCUAACUACGUG